rnacentral:rRNA from 1 species
AGAGUUUGAUCCUGGCUCAGGAUGAACGCUAGCUACAGGCUUAACACAUGCAAGUCGAGGGGAAACGACAUCGAAAGCUUGCUUUUGAUGGGCGUCGACCGGCGCACGGGUGAGUAACGCGUAUCCAACCUACCCACCACUUGGGGAUAACCUUGCGAAAGUAAGACUAAUACCCAAUGACGUCUCUAGAAGACAUCUGAAGGAGAUUAAAGAUUUAUCGGUGAUGGAUGGGGAUGCGUCUGAUUAGCUUGUUGGCGGGGUAACGGCCACCAAGGCGACGAUCAGUAGGGGUUCUGAGAGGAAGUCCCCCANAUUGGAACUGAGACACGGUCCAAACUCCUACGGGAGCA